rnacentral:rRNA from 1 species
ACGUACACUCCUACGGGAGGCAGCAGUGGGGAAUAUUGCACAAUGGGCGCAAGCCUGAUGCAGCCAUGCCGCGUGUAUGAAGAAGGCCUUCGGGUUGUAAAGUACUUUCAGCGGGGAGGAAGGCGAUAAGGUUAAUAACCUUGUCGAUUGACGUUACCCGCAGAAGAAGCACCGGCUAACUCCGUGCCAGCAGCCGCGGUAAUACGGAGGGUGCAAGCGUUAAUCGGAAUUACUGGGCGUAAAGCGCACGCAGGCGGUCUGUCAAGUCGGAUGUGAAAUCCCCGGGCUCAACCUGGGAACUGCAUUCGAAACUGGCAGGCUAGAGUCUUGUAGAGGGGGGUAGAAUUCCAGGUGUAGCGGUGAAAUGCGUAGAGAUCUGGAGGAAUACCGGUGGCGAAGGCGGCCCCCUGGACAAAGACUGACGCUCAGGUGCGAAAGCGUGGGGAGCAAACAGGAUUAGAUACCCGUGUAGUCC